AUCCAAACUAGAUAUAGGCUAAGUGGCAGUAUACACACCUUCACCCUCUGUCAGUCCCUCUUGACUAUAUAGCUCCCCCAUUGCCCCUGACCCCUGGUUAGUUUUGAUCCACAUGGUUCUGGCAACCCCGGACCACCUCUCCACAACUCUAACAAUAUGAAAGAAAGACUAGAUUAGAGGGGUGGAGCAUAGAGGGAGGAAACCAUCUGCUCCUUGUGUCUGAUCCUACAGUGAAAUCAUAGACCAAAUUUGGGAUGCUACACCCAUUAUUUCCAAGGGAACAGAUUACAAAGACAUAAAUAACACAAGGCCAGGAGAUCAUUGUAGGCUAAAGUUUGCAAGGGGGAAAACCCUUCUCAAUUUGCAAUCAACUAUCAUAGCAGGCAGCACAGUGGAUCCUAAAACUGGCUAUACUGGUUGGGCUCACAUGGAAAAGAAAACCAUGUGGAUUAGGAUGGAUUCCCAAUCUUUUUCUAACAAGUGUAUCCCUUCUGUUGCAAAUCUUCAACUCAGGAACCCCAGAGAGAGCAAGUGUUUACACACACACACACUUUUCUAUGUUGUAAUUAUGACACAGGCUACUCCAGUCACUGACUUUGGUGUUAAGGAGACAGGCUACUUACAGUCACUGGUUCUCAUCUCCACUAAGUUCCUAAUAAACAAUCUUAUUGAAAUUAGUGGGACAAGUUUACUUGCCUUAUUAAUUUCAGCGGGAGUACUCAGUGCUAAUUUUCUGAAGCUGGUCCGUCAGGCUGAAGGGAGGGGUAUGCUGAGCUUCAGCACAUAGCCAGCUAAUCAGGAGCAGGGGCUUCACCCUUGCAGUGAUGAGUGCCCCGAGGAAGCAGUUGGCUGAGAAACUUCUGGAGAAAUGGGAAGGCCACAGACUGGAAGCUGGAGACACCAGGAUGGCUUCUGCCUCUACGUAUCUGUUGAAGAGUAACCACUUAUAGCGAUAACAUCUUUAGAGAAUGGAUGGACAGCAACUGUUUUUAACUUUAAAAACUCCCUUUCAAUCUGCAAAAAGAAAUACGGAAAAAGGAAAACAAAGGACUUCUUAAGGACUUACCUCCAUGUUGGUGGUGACCAUUUGUGAACAUUUACACUUUACCCUUCCUGGAAUAGUGCAAUGAUGUAUAUCAUCAGACUUUUUGUUAUGUGUUUCUUGCUUUCUUAAACUGAUUGAAACCCAUGCAUUUCAAGCCAAGCCAUAUCCUGGUAAUAAAACACACUGUGAUGGGGUUGCAUCUCAUUUCUCUAGGAAAGAAACCAAAAGGCUGCUUUCUUCAUCUUUGUGAUGGUGAUGUUAAUAACUGGAACUUUUCACUUCCUUUUUUCUGAAACAGUGCAAUGUUAUGUUCCUUACCUUACAUCAUUCCUUACAUUGCAUCACGAUUUUUGUUAUGAGUUUAUUUUCUUAAAACUGGAAUAAUCUAUAACUUUUAAAGUUUUUCCAGAUGAUCCUCAAAAUGAAGGUUGUCUUAUUGUUGUCCAUUUGUCUGUAG